ACAUAAGGUAUUCCAGAUGUUUACUAUUAGUGUGUGUUUUAUUAUAUUUUUUAUUUAAUUUAAUUUGAUUUUUUUUUUCGAUUUUUAGAUAUUUGUGACCCUCCAUUACGAAAAUACGAGAACAAGUGGAGACCUCGAGAUAAGAGAGGUCAAAUAUCAGACACUCCAUUCCCCUCCGCAGAGUUAAUACAAAGUUACAUAAAACGAACAAUUGAAUAUUCAUUAGAAGAAAAAAAGUAUAAUCAUCAAAUUAAUGAUAAAAUAAAAUCCUAUUGC